rnacentral:ncRNA from 1 species
CAGUUAUGGUUCAUUUGAUCGUACAGUUUACUUGGAUAACUGUGGUAAUCUAGAGCUAAUACAUGCGAGAAGCGCUGACCUCGCGGAUGGCGUGCAUUUAUCAGACCAAAAAACCCGGCCGCGUCUUCGGGCGCGUUCGCCUUGGUGACUCUGGAUAACUUUGCGGAUCGCACGGUCUAGCACCGGCGACGGAUCAUUCAAGUGUCUGCCCUAUCAACUUUCGUCGGUACGGUAUUUGCCUACCGAGGUUCUUACGGGUGACGGGGAAUCAGGGUUCGAUUCCGGAGAGGGAGCCUGAGAAACGGCUACCACAUCCAAGGAAGGCAGCAGGCGCGCAAAUUACCCAUUCCCGACGCGGGGAGGUAGUGACGAAAAAUAACAAUGCAGGACUCGUUCGAGGCCCUGUAAUUGGAAUGAGUACACUUUAAAAGCUUUAACGAGUAUCCAUUGGAGGGCAAGUCUGGUGCCAGCAGCCGCGGUAAUUCCAGCUCCAAAAGUAUAUAUUUAAGUUGUUGCGGUUAAAAAGCUCGUAGUUGGAUUUUGGGCGCAGGCGGCCGGUCCGUCGCAAGGCGUGUACUGGACGUCCUGGCCUUCCCUCCGGUUCUCCGCCGGUGCUCUUGACUGAGUGUCGGCGGCGGCCGGAACGUUUACUUUGAAAAAAUUAGCAAUUCACACUAAAUCACGCAGCUAGCUGCGUCCUUCAUCGACUCACGAGCCGAGUGAUCCACC